AGUUCGUGUCUUCUUUGUGUUGUGAUUCAAGUCUUCUUCUUCUAUUGUUCUAAUCUAUUACUUGUAUCUGAAACACAAAGAAAACGCCGGUUAGUGCGUUUGUGUAUUCUUUGAUUGAUAGUGGAGGUUGUGGGAGACGGUUCCCAUCCCAGACGUAGCGGUUCGAGGCCAUGAACUGGCUUCUCGACAUGAUCAUGUUUUGACAGUUUCUGCUGGUGCUACUCCAAGGUUCUCUUCCUCUUUGACAAGGAUCAUCCUUAACCGGUUCCACUUGCUUCUUAGAACUGUACACAGUCCCUAAUGGUAUUCCUCCUUGUCUCGCAAUAUUGGUUAACAGCUCUGUCAAAGCGAUUUGGAAAGUAAAACAAUAGAAAGAGAAUGCUUUUAAAUCCAGUAUUUACUUACUCGCUUCAUCUAGAUGAUUCAUCUGGCUGAUCCGUCCGGAUCAAAACAUGAGAGCAGAUUACUUUGUCUGACAAAACAGGAGGAAA